CAGACAGGCACAGUGCGUACCGGACCGUGCAGGCAAGCGGUCGCAAGCGGGACGUCCGUUUCAAAACAUAUUGAUAACGGGCCGCGCAAAUAAUUUAAUAUAUUUUAAAAGCCGUAGCAAACAAACCGGGUUGCCAUUUGGGUGCUGGCCGAGGAAUAAUGUGAUCUAUUUCUCGAAAAUCCUAUACAUACGAUCCACUCCAGUCAUGGUGAAUCGCUUUUCCGAGAUUUUCGGCAGUUUGCAGUUGCCUUUUUGAUGAAAAUAAAAGAUUUAAAUACACAUUUAUGACGGCUCUCUAAACACCGAACUUGAAUAUUUGUAUACUUUUUAUGCAAUAAAAUUACUAUAUUAUCGAAUAUUUAUUUGAUUUAAAUACACGA